rnacentral:rRNA from 1 species
UACGUAGGUGGCGAGCGUUGUCCGGAUUUACUGGGCGUAAAGAGCGCGCAGGCGGCUGGUCAAGUCCGAUGUGAAAGCUCCCGGCUUAACUGGGAAAUUGCAUCGGAAACUGAUCGGCUGGAAGGUGGGAGAGGGUAGCGGAAUUCCCGGUGUAGUGGUGAAAUGCGUAGAUAUCGGGAGGAACACCAGUGGCGAAAGCGGCUACCUGGCCCAUUCUUGACGCUGAGGCGCGAAAGCUAGGGGAUCAAACGGG